GAUGAACGCUGGCGGCGUGCCUAAUACAUGCAAGUCGAGCGAACAGACGAGGAGCUUGCUCCUCUGACGUUAGCGGCGGACGGGUGAGUAACACGUGGAUAACCUACCUAUAAGACUGGGAUAACUUCGGGAAACCGGAGCUAAUACCGGAUAAUAUAUUGAACCGCAUGGUUCAAUAGUGAAAGACGGUUUUGCUGUCACUUAUAGAUGGAUCCGCGCCGCAUUAGCUAGUUGGUAAGGUAACGGCGUACCAAGGCAACGAUGCGUAGCCGACCUGAGAGGGGGAUCGGCCACACUGGAACUGAGACACGGUCCAGACUCCUACGGGAGGCAGCAGUAGGGAAUCUUCCGCAAUGGGCGAAAGCUUGACGGAGCAACGCCGCGUGAGUGAUGAAGGUCUUCGGAUCGUAAAACUCUGUUAUUAGGGAAGAACAAAUGUGUAAGUAACUAUGCACGUCUUGACGGUACCUAAGCAGAAAGCCACGGCUAACUACGU
rnacentral:rRNA from 1 species